GACAGAGGUGCCGAGCGUUAGGCGGAAUCACUGGGCGUAAAGCGCACGUAGGCGGAUUGUUAAGUCAGGGGUGAAAUCCUGGAGCUCAACUCCAGAACUGCCUUUGAUACUGGCGAUCUUGAGUCCGGGAGAGGUGAGUGGAACUGCGAGUGUAGAGGUGAAAUUCGUAGAUAUUCGCAAGAACACCAGUGGCGAAGGCGGACUCACUGGCCCGGUACUGACGCUGAGGUGCGGAAAGCGUGGGGAGCAAACAGGG
rnacentral:rRNA from 1 species